GGUUAAGCGACUAAGCGUACACGGUGGAUGCCUAGGCAGUCAGAGGCGAUGAAGGGCGUGCUAAUCUGCGAUAAGCGCCGGUAAGGUGAUAUGAACCGCAACAACCGGCGAUACCCGAAUGGGGAAACCCAGUGCAAUCCGUUGCACUAUCCUGACCUGAAUUCAUAGGGUCCGGAGGCGAACCGGGGGAACUGAAACAUCUCAGUACCCCGAGGAAAAGAAAUCAACCGAGAUUCCCCCAGUAGCGGCGAGCGAACGGGGAGCAGCCCAGAACCAACAUCAGCAUCAGUGUCAGGAGAACGGUCUGGAAAGGCCGGCAGUAAAGGGUGAUAGCCCCGUAUCUGAAGACACUGGUGGUGUGAGUUCGACGAGUAGGGCGGGACACGUGGUAUCCUGUCUGAACAUGGGGGGACCAUCCUCCAAGGCUAAAUACUCCUGACUGACCGAUAGUGAACCAGUACCGUGAGGGAAAGGCGAAAAGAACCCCGGCGAGGGGAGUGAAAUAGAACCUGAAACCGUGUACGUACAAGCAGUGGGAGCCUUGAUUUAUCAGGGUGACUGCGUACCUUUUGUAUAAUGGGUCAGCGACUUAUAUUCUGUAGCAAGGUUAACCGUAUAGGGGAGCCGCAGGGAAACCGAGUCUUAACUGGGCGUUAAGUUGCAGGGUAUAGACCCGAAACCCGGUGAUCUAGCCAUGGGCAGGUUGAAGGUUGGGUAACACUAACUGGAGGACCGAACCGACUAAUGUUGAAAAAUUAGCGGAUGACUUGUGGCUGGGGGUGAAAGGCCAAUCAAACCGGGAGAUAGCUGGUUCUCCCCGAAAGCUAUUUAGGUAGCGCCUCGUGAAGUCAUCUUCGGGGGUAGAGCACUGUUUCGGCUAGGGGGUCAUCCCGACUUACCAACCCGAUGCAAACUGCGAAUACCGAAGAAUGUUAUCACGGGAGACACACGGCGGGUGCUAACGUCCGUCGUGAAGAGGGAAACAACCCAGACCGCCAGCUAAGGUCCCCAAGUCAUGGUUAAGUGGGAAACGAAGUGGGAAGGCUCAGACAGCCAGGAUGUUGGCUUAGAAGCAGCCAUCAUUUAAAGAAAGCGUAAUAGCUCACUGGUCGAGUCGGCCUGCGCGGAAGAUGUAACGGGGCUAAACCAUGCACCGAAGCUGCGGCAGCGACACGUAAGUGUUGUUGGGUAGGGGAGCGUUCUGUAAGCCUGCGAAGGUGUGCUGUGAGGCAUGCUGGAGGUAUCAGAAGUGCGAAUGCUGACAUAAGUAACGAUAAAGCGGGUGAAAAACCCGCUCGCCGGAAGACCAAGGGUUCCUGUCCAACGUUAAUCGGGGCAGGGUGAGUCGACCCCUAAGGCGAGGCCGAAAGGCGUAGUCGAUGGGAAACGGGUUAAUAUUCCCGUACUCGGUGUUACUGCGAAGGGGGGACGGAGAAGGCUAGACCAGCCGGGCGACGGUUGUCCCGGUUCAAGCGUGUAGGUGGGAAGAAUUGGUAAAUCCGUUCUUCUGUCAACACUGAGGCGUGAUAACGAGGCACUACGGUGCUGAAGUGGUUGAUGCCCUGCUUCCAGGAAAAGCCUCUAAGCAUCAGGUAACAGUGAAUCGUACCCCAAACCGACACAGGUGGUCAGGUAGAGAAUACUCAGGCGCUUGAGAGAACUCGGGUGAAGGAACUAGGCAAAAUGGUGCCGUAAC
rnacentral:rRNA from 1 species